rnacentral:rRNA from 1 species
GAUGAACGCUGGCGGCGUGCCUAAUACAUGCCAGUCGAGCGAACGGACGAGAAGCUUGCUUCUCUGAUGUUAGCGGCGGACGGGUGAGUAACACGUGGAUAACCUACCUAUAAGACUGGGAUAACUUCGGGAAACCGGAGCUAAUACCGGAUAAUAUUUUGAACCGCAUGGUUCAAAAGUGAAAGACGGUCUUGCUGUCACUUAUAGAUGGAUCCGCGCUGCAUUAGCUAGUUGGUAAGGUAACGGCUUACCAAGGCAACGAUGCAUAGCCGACCUGAGAGGGUGAUCGGCCACACUGGAACUGAGACACGGUCCAGACUCCUACGGGAAGCAGCAGUAGGGAAUCUUCCGCAAUGGGCGAAAGCCUGACGGAGCAACGCCGCGUGAGUGAUGAAGGUCUUCGGAUCGUAAAACUCUGUUAUUAGGGAAGAACAUAUGUGUAAGUAACUGUGCACAUCUUGACGGUACCUAAUCAGAAAGCCACGGCUAACUACGUG